GAUGAAGAACGUAGCAAAAUGCGAUAAGUAAUGUGAAUUGCAGAAUUCAGUGAAUCAUCGAAUCUUUGAACGCACAUUGCGCCCGCUGGUAUUCCGGCGGGCAUGCCUGUUCGAGCGUCAUUUCAACCCUCAAGCCCCCGGGUUUGGUGUUGGGGCUCGGCUCUGCCCUUCUGGGCGGUGCCGCCCCCGAAAUACAUUGGCGGUCUCGCUGCAGCCUCCAUUGCGUAGUAGCUAACACCUCGCAACUGGAACGCGGCGCGGCCAUGCCGUAAAACCCCAACUUCUGAAUGUUGACCUCGGAUCAGGUAGGAAUACCCGCUGAACUUAAGCAUAUCAAUAAGCGGAGGA
rnacentral:misc_RNA from 1 species